UGGGGAAUAUUGGACAAUGGGCGAAAGCCUGAUCCAGCCAUGCCGCGUGUGUGAAGAAGGCCUUUUGGUUGUAAAGCACUUUAAGCGAGGAGGAGGCUACUAGUACUAAUACUACUGGAUAGUGGACGUUACUCGCAGAAUAAGCACCGGCUAACUCUGUGCCAGCAGCCGCGGUAAUACAGAGGGUGCGAGCGUUAAUCGGAUUUACUGGGCGUAAAGCGUGCGUAGGCGGCUGAUUAAGUCGGAUGUGAAAUCCCUGAGCUUAACUUAGGAAUUGCAUUCGAUACUGGUCAACUAGAGUAUGGGAGAGGAUGGUAGAAUUCCAGGUGUAGCGGUGAAAUGCGUAGAGAUCUGGAGGAAUACCGAUGGCGAAGGCAGCCAUCUGGCCUAAUACUGACGCUGAGGUACGAAAGCAUGGGGAGCAAACAGG
rnacentral:rRNA from 1 species